rnacentral:lncRNA from 1 species
ACCGAAUAUAGAGAACCAACCUUAUCCCAACUGAACCAACCUUAUACCAACCGAACCAACCUUAUCACAACCGAAGAUAUAAAGAACCAACCUUAUCACAACCGAAUAUAGAGAACCAACCUUAUACCAACCGAAUAUAAAGAACCAACCUUAUCACAACCGAAUACAGAGAACCAACCUUAUCCCAACCGAACCAACCUUAUCACAACCAAAGAUAGAGAACCAACCUUAUCACAACCAAACCAACCUUAUACCAACCGAAAAUAUAAAGAACCAACCUUAUUACUACCGAACCAACCUUAUCACAACCGAACCAACCUUAUCACUACCGAAGAUAUAAAGAACCAACCUUUUAUAAAGUUCGUUCCAGGGAACUAAACGUAUUCGUUCUAAAGAACUGUACAAAUGUUUACUUUGACCGUUUGGGAGGACGUUGGUCCGUCCCAAAGGAUAUUGUCCGAUUGAGAGGAUGAUGAUCCGUCCCGAAGGAAGUAAUCCGUUCGGGAGGACGAUGGUCCGUUCCGAAGGAAGUAAUCCGUUCGGGAGGACGUUUGUCCGACCUUAUGCCCCCAGUCUCUUAUUUAUAAGAACCUUAUUUAUAAGAGACUAUUCAAAAGGUAUCCAUGAGAUUUUUAUCCUCGGGACUUUUAUCCUCGGGACUUUUAUCCGCUGGAUUUUUAUCCUCGGGAUUUUUCAUCCUUUCGGGAGAUCAAAGCCUUUCUGAAGGACGUUUGUCCGACCUUAUAACCCCUCCAACCUUAUGCCGCCAUAAUAUCCGUCCCGAAGGAUGUAAUCCAUUCGGGAGGACGUUGGUCCGUCCCAAAGGAUAUUGUCCGAUUGAGAGGAUGAUGGUCCGUCCCGAAGGAAGUAAUCCGUUCGGGAGGACGUUGGUCCGUCCCGAAAGAUAUUUGACCGUUCGGGAGGACGAUUGUCCGACCUUAUAACCCCUCCAACCUUAUGCCGCCAUUGUCCCCCAGUCUCUUAUUUAUAAGGAACUUAUUUAUAAGAGACUAUUCAAAAAGUCUCCAUGGGAUUUCUAUCCUCGGGACUUUUAUCCUCGGGACUUUUAUCCUCGGAAUUUUUAUAUCCUCGGGAUUUUUAUCCUCGGGAUUUUUAUCCUCGGACUUUUUAUCCUCGGGACUUAUAUCCUCGGAAUUUAUAUCCUCGGGACUUUUAUCAUCGAGAUUUAUAUCCGUAGAAUGUUCAUCCUUUCGGGAGACCAAAGCCUUCCCGAAGGACGUUUGACCGACCUUAUAACCCCUGCAACCUUAUGCCGCCAUAAUAUCCGUCCCGACCCCUGUGGGAGGCUUUGAUCAGACUUUACAUCUGCCGAAAGUAAAUAGUCGAAGAUAUGAUGAAGCCGAUGUGAUAUAGUCCGAGGCAAACUGCAAUUAUUCGAAGAGGAUUGUUGUUGCCCGAAGUGAGUUGUUGCCCAAAGUGUCACUGAUAACAAUUUUUGACUGUCGAAGUGUGCUAAAAUCUGAGCUCUGAUUCUGACUUUAGUGUCGAAGUUGGAGUUGAUGUCCGAAGUGGCGAAUGUUUCUAGACCUGUUUUCAGGAUAAAGAUUUUUUCAUGAGCUCCUCUAUUUGAGACUACUGCUUCAAUACUUCGGAGUCCGAACUAUUGUUCUCUUGAUUUAAGUUGCAGAACGAUGAAUUAGCCUCAUCCUUUU